GCCAGACUCCUACGGGAGGCAGCAGCGAGGAAUAUUGGUCAAUGGGCGCGAGCCUGAACCAGCCAAGUCGCGUGAGGGAUGACGGCCCUACGGGUUGUAAACCUCUUUUGUCGGGGAGCAAAUUCCGCCACGUGUGGCGGAGUCGAGAGUACCCGAAGAAAAAGCAUCGGCUAACUCCGUGCCAGCAGCCGCGGUAAUACGGAGGAUGCGAGCGUUAUCCGGAUUUAUUGGGUUUAAAGGGUGCGUAGGCGGGAUGCCAAGUCAGCGGUAAAAAUGCGGUGCUCAACGCCGUCGAGCCGUUGAAACUGGCGUUCUUGAGUGGGCGAGAAGUAUGCGGAAUGCGUGGUGUAGCGGUGAAAUGCAUAGAUAUCACGCAGAACUCCGAUUGCGAAGGCAGCAUACCGGCGCCCUACUGACGCUGAGGCACGAAAGCGUGGGUAUCGAACAGGAUUAGAUACCCGAGUAAA
rnacentral:rRNA from 1 species